UACGGAGGGGGCUAGCGUUGUUCGGAAUUACUGGGCGUAAAGCGCACGUAGGCGGCUUUGUAAGUUAGAGGUGAAAGCCCGGGGCUCAACUCCGGAAUUGCCUUUAAGACUGCAUCGCUAGAAUUGUGGAGAGGUAAGUGGAAUUCCGAGUGUAGAGGUGAAAUUCGUAGAUAUUCGGAAGAACACCAGUGGCGAAGGCGGCUACCUGGACCGGUUCUGACGCUGAGGCGCGAAAGCGUGGGUAGCAAACAGG
rnacentral:rRNA from 1 species